rnacentral:rRNA from 1 species
GAUGAACGCUGGCGGCGUGCCUAAUACAUGCCAGUCGAGCGAACAGACGAGGAGCUUGCUCCUCUGACGUUAGCGGCGGACGGGUGAGUCACACGUGGAUAACCUACCUAUCAGACUGGGAUAACUUCGGGAAACCGGAGCUAAUACCGGAUGAUAUAUUGCACCGCAUUGUUCAAUAGUGAAAGUCGGUUUUUGUGUCAGUUAUAGAUGGAUCCGCGCCUCAUUAGCUGGUUGGUAAGGUAACGGCUUACCAAGGGAACGAUGCGUAACCGACCUGAGAGGGUGAUCCGCCCCUCGGAAGCUGAGACGCGGUACAGACUCGGACGGGAGGCAGCAGUAGGGAAUCUACGGCAAUGGGCGAAAGCCUGACGGAGCAACGGCGCGUGAGUGAUGAAGGUCUUCGGAUCGUAAAACGCUGUUAUUAGGGAAGAACAAAUGUGUAGUAACUAUGCACGUCUUGACGGUACCGAAUCAGAAAGCCACGGCUAACUACGUG